rnacentral:sRNA from 23 species
AGUUAACGAUGACAGUGAAUAUAUUGAGUAGCGACGGUAUAUUCUAUGAGGUUAACUAUAUACGUAGUAGUGAUUUAAAGUUCUCCCAAGGAUACUACAACAUAAGAGCCUAGUACAUCUUAAUUGUACAGGCUCUU